rnacentral:lncRNA from 1 species
CAGACACCUGUCCCGUGGUGGCAGGUGGAAGGCCAAGUAUAUGAGCACAAUAGCAGCCUUUCUUGCAAUUGUGGUAGGCCAUGUGACUCAUUCUGGCUGAUGGACUCUGAGUGGAAAUGUCAUGUGUCACUUCUGGGCUGAGGCAGUCACGAGCUGGUAUGUCUCAUCCAUCUCUCUCUUCCUCUACCGUUGAAUCUUGCAAACCACCAGAUCCAGAAGGAAAAGCUACAGGGUGAAAGUGGUGCCUGAUCUUCAAUGAACUUUACAUGUUUGACGAAUAAAACUCAUGGUUAAGCUAGUGAGACUUAUGGCUUUUCUGUUGCAGCAGUUAGCAUUAUUUAUCCUGAUUAAUCCACCCAUCUAAAAUAUUUCCGCAU